CGAAAGUUACGCUAAUACCGCAUAUUCUGUGAGCAGGAAAGCAGGGGAUCGCAAGACCUUGCGCUGAUUGAGCGGCCGAUAUCAGAUUAGCUAGUUGGUGAGGUAAAGGCUCACCAAGGCGACGAUCUGUAGCGGGUCUGAGAGGAUGAUCCGCCACACUGGAACUGAGACACGGUCCAGACUCCUACGGGAGGCAGCAGUGGGGAAUUUUGGACAAUGGGGGCAACCCUGAUCCAGCCAUGCCGCGUGAGUGAAGAAGGCCUUCGGGUUGUAAAGCUCUUUCGGCCGGGAAGAAAUCGCAUGGGCUAAUACCCUGUGCGGAUGACGGUACCGGCAUAAGAAGCACCGGCUAACUACGUG
rnacentral:rRNA from 1 species